CCUAUUUCUUUUGAGUUUGAUAUUUGUUUUGUUGACAAAUCAAACACUCUCUAAUGUAAGUGUGAACAUCUUUGCAUAUUCCUGGCCAAUUGAAAGAUGCCAUGAUACGAGCCAGAGUUGGUUUCUGCCCAGAGUGACCAGACAUUGGAGUGUCAUGGAAUUCUGCCAUAAUAGCUUGGCGCCAAGAGUUGCUGUCAGAACUUGCGGAAAUCAUCCAAAAGAGCUGGCAUGGGUGAUGACAAAGACAUCAGAAACUGUGGGGGGUCGAAAUUGACACGGGAUAAUGCGUCUGCAACUCUAUUGGUCUUUCCAGAUUGGACUUGCCAGCGAAGAGACAUUUUCUUGCUGAAGAAAGCAAUUGGAUGCCCCCUCUGAGAGAGAACUCCACCCACAGCAAUCCUAGAAGCGUCAGUUUCGACGUCAAAGGGCUGAGAAAAAUCUCGCAAAGCAAGUAUUGGGGCCGAAACGGGGUGGGAAUGGUAGGAGGUUAAUGUGGUGAUCAUGAGGCCUAUGAGGGGGUAACCCAUGAGGUGAAACCCCAAUUACCUGAUUGGAGAUUCGUUCAAACCGAGUCUAAAAUUCUGCAACAGUGGAAAUUUGUCUGAGUUUGAAAAGCUCUUGCUGAUGGUUCUCAUAAGCAGAAGGCCCAAAACGGAUCUGAAGAGCCCUGGUAAAAGCAUCCAUGUUGUCAACAGAAAGUUGUUGUGCAUCCAUUUAAACCAGCCUAGUGCCUCACCCUUCAUGUAGAAAGAGACCAUAUCCAGCUUCUGCUCAGAAGGUGUUUGAUAACAUUGAAAGAACUGAUCUGCCUGAAACAGCCAGUCCAAGGGUCCAGUACCAUCAAAGGGGGUAAGUUGCAGUUUGGGGGGUUUAGGGGUAUGAUGGGUAUGGUGGUAAAUGGGGUUUUGAUGUGAGAUCUGGGUGUUAUGAAACCCAGGUGGAGGGCGUAUUGGAGAGGAGGUUGAGGGUGUGAAUGGAGGUGGGUGAGAGGUAUGAGUUGUGGAGAAGAGGACAUGAGGUUCACUUUGUCAAGGAGACCUGCAAGCACAGAGGAAAGAGCUUCCUGGUUGCUGUUGAGUCUCUCCAUAGACUCCAACAAAUCAGCAUAAGCAAAAGGACCCGUAGGAGGCAUGGUAACAGUGAUGAAAGCACCAAUUUGGUAGGAAAAAUCCUUCCCACCAAGGAACCCUAGCCGAGCUACUCUAGAACAGUGAAGAAAUAUAACGAGAAAGAUAAAUUAUUGGCUGAAGCCGUUUUCUUUGAUAGAUAGGAAAGUAACAACAGUACAAUACUUAUACUUGUAAAAAUAAAAACCCUACAGUGGUUUCCCAUAUGUUUGGCUUAAUCCAAUGUUAGUUAAAUUUCCUUA